rnacentral:rRNA from 1 species
UAUAAAUGAUUUUAUGUUAUUAUUUUUGUUAUGUGUUAUAUGAUGUUUUAUUAAAUAUAUUUUUGUUAUUGUAUUUAUUGAUUUAAUUAUUUUUAUUAUGGUGAAAUAGUACUGUGAAGGAAUAGAGUAUAUAAGGUUGUUUUUAAUAUUAAUUAAAGUUGAUUUAAUUUAUUUUAUCUUGAGUAUCAGAGUGGAUUAAUAUGAUUGAUUGAACUUUUUUAUCUCGAAUUUAAAAGAUUUAAUUGAAUAUAAUUGUUCAUUGUUUUAUAAAUGUCAUUAAUGUUUAAUUGGUAAUGAAAUGUUUUCGUUUUUAAGGAUAUCUAGUUUCUUAUUAAAUGAAUUUAAUUCAGAAAAUGUAAUUUAAUAUUAUUUGUUGAAAUGAAUAUUUUUUAUAUUUUUAAUUUUUUGUGGGAUUAGCUUGGAAAAAUAUUAACUAUAAAUGUGUUCUAUAUAAAUGUUGUUUAGGAAUUUAUAAAUUUAGGAGUUGUUAUUGAAUAGAGUGUGUUAAAAUUUAUUUUUAUGUUGUUGAAGAUUUUAUUUUAUUUUAGUGUGUUUAGUAAGAUUAGAGAUUGAAUUUAAUUUUUUUUGUAAUAAUGAUUUAAUUAGUAUAAGUUGUUGUGAAAAGUUGUUCUGAUUAUAAUUGUUAUAUUUUUAUGAAGAAUUAGGCAAAUUUCUGCCCGCCUGUUUAUUAAAAACAUGGUUUCUUGAUUAUUUGGGAGAUUUGACCUGCCCACUGGGAAUUGUAUUGAAGGGCCGCAGUAUUUUGACUGUGCGAAGGUAGCAUAAUCAUUAGUCUUUUAAUUGAAGGCUUGUAUGAAUGGUUGGACGAGGCAGUUUCUGUUUUAUUUAAAUUUAUUGAAUUUAAGUGUUAAGUAAAAAAUCUUAAAUGUUAUUAAGGGACGAGAAGACCCUAUAGAGUUUAAUGAUAUUUUGUUUUAUUUAUGUUAUAUAUUUUGGAGUUUUUAUUAUUAAAUUAUUAUUUAGUUGGGGUGAUUAGAAAAUAAAUGUAACUUUUCUUUUUUGUUAAUUAUGAUAAUUAGUUAAUAGAUCCAUUAAUAGUGAUUUUAAGAUUAAAUUACCUUAGGGAUAACAGCAUAAUUUUUUUUGAGAGUUCUUAUCGAGAAAAGAGAUUGUGACCUCGAUGUUGGAUUAAGAUAAAUAUUAAAUGCAGAUGUUUAAUUAUUAGGUCUGUUCGACCUUUGAAAUCUUACAUGAUCUGAGUUUAAACCGGUGUAAGCCAGGUUGGUUUCUAUCUUUAAUUAAAGAAAGGAUUUUAGUACGAGAGGACCAAAUUGUUUGAAAUAAUUUUAUUAAUUGUUUAAAUA